CGUUUGUUUUGUCAAGCAACUUGCUUCAGUUGUCAAAUGUAUUUUUGUGAGCGAUCGCGACCGCGAGUGACAAACGGUACUGCUUCCUAAUUACCGUUUUAAUUGAAAUACGAUUGUUUAUAACUUAGUUAUAAGCCACACGUAAUUUAAACGUGCUGGCAAAUAAUGAAAACCGCGUCCUAAAGUGGCUAUUAUAUAAAAAUACGUUAGUAUAACAAUAAAAAUCAGUUUAAUCUAUCGACAAUGGUGAAAGAUGGACGUAAAUAUCGGUCGUUGUCGAUCUAGCUUGUCGUUUUGACGCCGACGCUUUAUGAAAUGUGAUCAAGUGCUACAGAAAUUGAGGAUUUUUUAAACCGCAGUACACGGCUCAGCCAUGGCUGACGAGUCCAGCGUUCGUGUUGCUGUCAGAAUCCGUCCACAGACACCAGCUGAGGUGGUCGAGGGUUGUGGUAUAUGUGCUCGAGCUGGUGGCGCUGCUGGCGAGGGAGGAGUAGCCCUGGGAUCGGAGCGUGCCUUCACCUUCGACUUCGCCUUCGAACCAUCAUGUUGCCAGCAAACAGUCUACGACACUUGUGUCAGGAAGCUGGUGGAGGCAGCCCUGGAUGGAUACAAUGCUACUGUGCUCGCAUAUGGACAGACUGGCUCCGGCAAAACCUACACGAUGGGCAGUGGCUGGGAAGGCGAAGGGGAUGGUGACGAAGAGCGCCGUGGUAUCAUUCCUCGAGCCAUCAGAGACUUAUUCGCCGGCGCAGAAGCAAGGGCUGACGAGGCGCGCGCGCAAGGACAGUUACCACCAGAGUUCUCAGUUCAGGCACAGUUCAUUGAGCUAUACAAUGAGGACAUCGUCGACCUUCUAGAUCCUGCUAAAGAUCCUUUUGCUAAGGGCGCACUCAGGAUAACAGAAGAUGGUUGCGGCGGCGUUCGCAUUGUCGGGGCUUCGAUGCGAGCAGUCAGAGGUGCUCAAGAGGCUUUGGGGGCGCUGCGGGCUGGUGCCCUCGCGAGGACCACGGCAGCUACCAACAUGAACUCCUCAUCCUCACGGUCACAUGCAGUAUUCACUCUCUUACUCCGACAAAGGAGACUGGCACCAGACCAGGAUACGUCUGUAGAUAGAGAAGCAGACUCCGAAGCACCUGAACAAUACGAGACACUCACUGCGAAGUUCCAUUUUGUUGAUUUAGCUGGAUCUGAGAGAUUAAAACGGACAGGUGCAACAGGCGAGCGAGCAAAAGAAGGUAUAUCAAUAAACUGCGGGCUGCUAGCUCUUGGCAAUGUGAUAUCAGCUCUCGGGGAUCGUUCUAGAAAAGUACUGCACGUUCCGUACCGGGACUCGAAACUAACGAGGUUACUCCAGGACUCGUUAGGAGGCAACAGUAAUACGGUCAUGAUAGCGUGUGUGUCUCCUAGUGAUAGAGAUUUUAUGGAGACGUUGAAUACAUUGAAGUACGCGAACAGGGCGAGGAAUAUUAAGAACAGGUGCGUGGUCAACCAGGACCUGACCUCGAGGACUAUACACCAGUUGAGGCAGGAGGUGGCCAGGCUGCAGCUCGAGCUUGCUGAAUAUAAACAGGGUAAACGCGUGAUAUCAGAAAACGGCGAGGAAGGCUGGAGCGACGUAGUCCAAGAGAAUGCGAUACUGACUGGUGAGGUGGAGUCUCUGAGACGAAGAGUGAAGGCCAUGCAGGGUACUAUCGAGCAGCUGUCGGCCAGGAACAGUGAGCUCAUUGCUGAGAAGGCGCUCGGCAACUGGGGACCUAAGGAUAGCAGCCCUGAUGCUAAUGACUGCUCGCUAACUGCACUUGUACAGGGUUAUGUAAGCGAGAUAGAGGACCUUCGAGCUCAGCUGAUGGAGUCGAACGCGAUGUACGAGGCGAGUCGCAAGCGCGAGGCGACGGUCGCCCGCACCAGGCACGACUCCGUCCAGGAUCCCUCACUCAUCAUCGAUGAUGCCAAGCGGGAACUGUAUAAGGAGAAAGAGUUAUUGGCGCGCAGUAUGGGCGAGUUAGAAUUCCAACGCAAACUGAAUAUGAGCGAGAGCAUGACGAGUGCUGUCGACGACCGACCUAUAGGAGAAAGGGAGAGGGCCGAGGGAGAGAGUGCAGAGGACUCUGAACCUUCGGACGGCGACGGAGAGGCUAGCGACUCUGAGGAAGAGGAUUCUGAAGUUAAAGGUCAGCGCGUCCUGUCGGCCCAGCUGGCGGCGCUGAGCGAGGACAUCGACACCAAGGCGCGGCUCAUUGAACAACUGGAGCUGUCGCAGCGCCGCCUGGCGGCACUCAGGACGCACUACGAGCAACGCCUGGACACGCUGCACCAUCAGAUCAAGGCUACCAACGAUGAAAAAGAUAAAGUGCUCGCGUCGCUUGCGAGCCAAGCCUCCCCUCCAAGUGAGAAGCUGAAACGAGUGAAGGAAGAAUACGAGCGUCGCGUGAGCAGUAUGUCGCGGGAACUGAAGCGCAUGCAGGCGGCCGUGCGGGAACACACGCGUCUGCAACGCUCGCAGCAACACACCGCGCAACAGAUCGCCACGCUACGCUCCGAACUACAGAAUAUGAAGAGGGAUAAGGUGAAACUAGUCCAACGUAUGCGCGAGGAAGCCAAGCGACACGCGCAAGCUGAAGCGGCACGAGCUAAAGAGGUGGCACAACUGCGUAAAGAAUCUCGUAAAAAUGCUAACUUGAUCAGAUCAUUGGAAGCAGAGACCAAGAUGAAAGAAGCGGUGUUACGACGUAAACAAGAAGAGGUGUCGUUAUUAAGGAGAGGACAUCGUGACAAGCUCAGCAGUCGGGCGGCAGGCAGGUUGCAUGAGCGCGGGCAGGCGCGGCGCAGCAAGAGUUGCCGCGAGGCGUGGUCCCGGCUGGAGUGCUGGGUGUCGCGGGCCGUGGCGGCGCGCGUCACGCUGGGCGAGCUGGAGGCCGCCAUGGAGCGCCUGCUGCAGCAGCGGGACCGCGCCCGCGGGGGAGAUACAUCCGACCCCGACACCGCGCAUCUACUGCGCUACCUGAGGGACGCCAUCGCUGACACACAGGCGCAGAUCAUACAAAUCGAGGAGGAGAACGACGAGAGCCAGCUACCCUCGCUGCUGGAGCAGGUGUCGAGCGCGGAGGCGGGGCGCUACAGCCUGCAGCGGCUGGCCGCGCUCACGCUGCAGCACGCGCAGGACGCCGCCAGGCACCACAAGCUGCUGCACGACACGCGCGCCCGCCUCAACGAGUUGGAAGAACAGUCGGAGCGAUCUGCGGCGGCGCUGCGAUUGGCUAGCGCGGACCAGAACCUGAACCCGUGGGGAGUGCCGGCGGCGCUGUCUGCCCUGCUGCAGCACGUGUCCUCCGGCACCUCCACACGCUCCGUGUCGCCCGUCGACAGCUCGCUGCUAGACGUGCGUCCGACGAACGGAGUCCGUGAGUCCAGUACGGCGCCCGCGUCCCCGCCCGACGACAACACGCCCUCGCCCUUCCAGAGGAACACCCAACGUCGCGGCUCAGUCCGUCUCCGCGACCUGGGCGUGAUAGGCCGCGACGAGGACCCGAUGACCCAGUCCAUGGUGGAGCCCGCCUCGCCGCGGCCCAUACCGCUCAGUCGCGUGCCUAGCGCGCCUGGCAGUCUCAGAGGUCUCCAGCCCCUGAACAGUAGUGGCGGAGUGCUGGCGUCCCCCGUGGCAGUGCGGCGCCCCCCCGCUCCCCCCGAGUCCCCGCGGCCCCCCCGCCGACACCUCACCAAGCCGGCCUCUUUAGAGCCGAGCGCGACGGUCGGCACUCCCCCAGCGUCGCCGGGCGCCGCGAGGAGGGCCCGAGAUGAUGACGUUUUCCUCCGUCUCACGGGCGCCGGCAACGAUAACACUCCUCAAGGCGUCGUCAAGGAAAUUGCUUUGAAGCGUACGAGCGGCAGUGGCGGCGCGGGCACGGGCGCGUGGCUGCAGUGCACGCACGUGGCCGAGGGACACGCCGGCGCCGCGCUCGCACUCGCCGCCACGCCCGACCUGCUCUACAGUGGGGGCGUCGAUCGUACAGUCCGCGGCUGGGACUUCGUGGCGGGCGCGGAGUCGUGGCGCGGCUGGUGCGGCGGCGGCGUGGGCGCGCUGGCGGCGGCCGAGCGCCUCGUGCUGGCCGCCGCCGGCGCCGCCGUGCGGCUCUUCGACACGCGCUCCCGUACCCCGGUCACCACGCUCUGGUCGUCAGGAGUGACAGGUCCGUGCCCGGCCAACCGCGGCGUGGGCGGCGAGGUGGCCGUCACUGCGCUCGCGCUCGCACAGAACCAUCGCCUCUACACCGCCGUCGGGGACAAACUCCGCCUGUGGGACCUCAGGAUGAUGGAGUGUGUGUCGAAGCUGUGGACGGGGCACGCGGCGGCCGUGAUGUGCCUGGCCGUGGGCCGCGCCCCGCACGGGGACCUCGUCGCCACCGGCUCCAAGGACCACUACGUGCGCACGCUCGACAUGCUGCCGCAGGACACUGGUAACUACGAGGCAAGCAACCGUUGGCUACUAGAGCCGCCGCACUACGACGGCGUACAAGCGCUGGCACUGAGCCAGGAGGACGGCGCCCUGUACAGCGCGUCCCGAGACACCAGCCUCAAGCGGUGGAGCCUCGCUGACCAUACACUCACGCAUGGAGUUAUGAAUGCACAUAAAGGUUGGGUGACGGGCGUGUGCGUGCUGGGCGCGGGGGGCGCGGGCGGUGGGGGGCUGGUGGCGAGCUGCGGGCGCGACGGCGCGCUGCGCGUGUGGUCGGGCGCGCUCCGUCCCGCCGCCCCCCCCGCCGCGCUGCCCGACCUGCCGCACGCACUGCGCGCGCAUCCGAGCCAACAUACACUCGCGCUCUACACCGCCGGCAACGGCGGCGAAGUGCGCGCCUGGCGGGUCACCCUCGAGCAGUGACACUCACAGGUGCUUACACUGUCACUCUACUUACACUCACACACUACACACUACUGGCGGGUCACCCUCGAGCAGUGACACUCACAGGUGCUUACACUGUCACUCUACUUACACUCACACACUACACACUACUGGCGGGUCACCCUCGAGCAGUGACACUCACAGUGACGGCCGCAUACGUUGUUGGAGGCUGCGCAAGAUUAGGUGACCAAUGGCCGCGUGCUCCGGCGCCGCGUCCCCGAGCACGCCCCGCUCCCCCGCCACGCCGCGCAUGCGCCGCGCCUGGCGGUGACACGGGACAUAAACA